rnacentral:rRNA from 1 species
UACGUAGGGUGCAAGCGUUGUCCGGAAUUAUUGGGCGUAAAGAGCUCGUAGGCGGCUUGUCGCGUCGACUGUGAAAUCCCGCGGCUCAACGGCAGGUCUGCGGUUGAUACGGGUGGGCUGGAGUUCGGUAGGGGAGACUGGAAUUCCUGGUGUAGCGGUGAAAUGCGCAGAUAUCAGGAGGAACACCGGUGGCGAAGGCGGGUCUCUGGGCCGAUACUGACGCUGAGGAGCGAAAGCGUGGGGAGCGAACAGG